GACGAACGCUGGCGGUAUGCCUAACACAUGCAAGUCGAACGAGAUCAUAUUUUUGUUUACAAGAAUAUGAUUGCAGUGGCGGACGGGUGAGGAACACGUAAGAACUUACCUUUUGGCGGGGGAUAACAACGGGAAACUGUUGCUAAUACCCCAUAAUGCUGAGGAGCAAAAGGGAAACUACCAAAAGAGAUGCUUGCGUCUGAUUAGCUAGUUGGAGGAGGUAAAUGCUCCCCAAGGCGACGAUCAGUAGCUGGUCUGAGAGGAUGAUCAGCCACACUGGGACUGAGAUACGGCCCAGACUCCUACGGGAGGCAGCAGUGGGGAAUUUUCCACAAUGGGCGAAAGCCUGAUGGAGCAAUACCGCGUGAGGGAUGAAGUAUCGUGGUACGUAACCUCUUUUCUUGACGAAGAAGCUCUGACGGUAGUG
rnacentral:rRNA from 1 species